ACAGGGACACUCACGGCGCCGAACUGCCCGUCCCCAGUCCGCGGGGGUCGCGGUGCUCCGCGGGUGGGAGCCGGUCGCGGUGUCUGCCCGCAGCACUGAGCAGUGGACCUGCCUUUGCGCGUGCAUCAUAGAAUCAGAGAAUGGCUUGAGUUGAGAAAGACCCUAAAGAUCAGUCGUGUUGUUCCAACUCCCUGCCGUGGGCAGCAACACCUUCCACCAGACCAGGUUGCUCAGAGCCCCAUCCGACCCGGCCUUGAACGCAGCCAGGGAUGUGGCAUCCACAGUUUCUCUGGGCAGCCUGCGCCAGUCAAGUAUUGGCUUCAAAUGCUGUCAUAGCUAAAGCGGAUGGUGAACUGUGGGACCUGUAUUGUCCACUGGAGGGAGAUUGUACUCUAAAGCUGCUGACCUUUGAUCAUGAAGAAGCAAAAGCUGUUUAUUGACAUUCAAGUGGUCACAUUCUUGGAGAGGCCAUGGAAGGAUAUUUUGGGGGCUGCUUAUGCUAUGGACCAUCAACUGAGAAUGGAUUUUAUUUUGAGAUAUAUAUUGAAGAGGUGUAUCUAGUACUGAACUCCCACUACUAGAGAACCGCUGUAAAAAUAUCAUAAAAGCGAAACAGGCUUUUGAAAAGCUGGAAGUCAACAAGGAGACCCUGUUAGACAUGUUUAAGUAUAACUUUUAACUGUCAUAUGCCUAGUGAGAAGGUGAAGACACCAACUACCACAAUAUACAGGUAAAGAAAUAUGCUUCUAAGAUAUUGUAUUUUUAUAGUUAGUUUAUUUAAAUUGAGACAGGAAUAAAUUGGUUUUUUGUUUUAGGUUUUUUUUAUUUUUAUUCUAACUUCCAAAUUCUUGUGUGAUUGGGACUUAGGUUUGCAAUUAAUAUUGCUACUUUUAUAAAACGAGGUAUUUUCUUUCUCUGCUGGGACAGAUUAGGUCUCAAUUUGUGGACAAAUGGCAAAUCCAGUUUUUAUUCAUUCCCUCUCAUUUCAGUACACUGAUUAAAAUAAGUUACCACCCCAGACAUUGGAUUGGUGCAUAGUGGGUAACACUAACUCUCAGCUUAUUGGGGGGUGAGGAACCUGCUUAUUUAGUUGCUCAUUCCAAUCAGUUGGUUGGAAAAUAGCAGAACCAUUUUUCUGUUUGAUAUGCAUAGUUUGAAAUUUCCUGGUCAGCUUUAACAAAGUUCACAUAUGGAACUAUAUGAGUUGGUGAAUGUGUUAUGAUGGUCUUGAUAAUAGAUCAGCUGUGCUGAGCAUUUACUGAGAGAAUAUUUCACUUCAGGUAGAAGGCUCAGUUACAUUUAAGGAGCAUAUGAAUAUGCUGCACAUUGCAUAUUCAUAUUUACUACCAUGGUGGAAUGUGUCAAGCACGAAUUUGUGCACCAUUAGUGACUGUAUUGAGAAAAUGUUGGAGUAUUUGGAAAUGAACACUUUUUUUCUUUUGGGCAUAUAGAUGUGGUCCACUGAUUAAUCUCUGCGGGGUGAGACACAUUGGAAAAAUUAAGACCCUUAAAAUAGUUAGGGUAAAUUGAAAUUAACUGUGCAUUGAAACUGAAGUAAACAAUGGUACAGUUGAUUUAUUUAUGUAUUUAUUUCUCCUGAGCUGAUUAUGCUAGGAUUCUUUGUAUUGUUUUCUUUGUUUACUCUGAAAAUAAUCCUUCAUUUCUUUCCGAACUCCCAUUUUACAAGUAGAACUGCAGACUUUAAUCAUUCAUCCACGUCCAAGAUUUACUGAUUCUUGACUAUCACAAUCGUACAGCAGUGAAAGUUAAUAGCAUCUUUUUUUGUCAGAGUAUUAGUGUAGUAACAUGCAUGUUUAGACUGAUGAAGAGCACAGCAAGAACACUGUAGCUAGUAGUGACUAGAUUAGCUGUGGAACCAAUUGUCCCAUGCCCAGUAGAGAAGUGCAGUGCCUAAGCCCAUGUGGCAGUGCUGUUCCAGGACCUCUAACCAGCACUGCACCUCAUAGUACGAGUGUCCUGGUUUGAGACUGUACCUGCUGUCACAUCUGUGUGUGUGUGCGCGUGGGGGUGCACACUCUGUUCUGCAGCAAAUGAACAUCCAAGUGUUUAUUGGGUCAGAAUAUACUACUUUGACCUUGUCAGAUGGUAUCUUUCAGGUACAGGAGGUAAAACAGCAGAUCUGCAAGUGCUGCUGUUAAAAGAUGGCAUUGCUUACAGGAAAGGCAGAGACAGGGUUUGCAGAGGCCUUUGUUUUUGUGGUGUAGUUUAAGUUACUCACAGAUGCCAAUUUUGGUAACCAUAUUAGAUCAAUACCUCAUUGGAAUGUUCAUCAUAGUUGCUUUUGCUGGCUUCCUAACUGAAGUGUGUGGAACUCUGAAUUCCAGGGAUUAUGUGUUAGAUUGUCAAAACAACUAAGAAUUAACUGUGAGAGUUAGGUUUGUUGUGUCUUUCGUGUUUCUCUACUGCAGUAUGUUUUGAACGUGCUUUGAACUGCUUUUCUAGCUGCUAUAAUAUGAAAUAAUAAAACAUGCCAUGAUGUGAGUUGAAACAAGGUACCUAAGUAGAAUAAAAAUAUUACUUGACCAGUCA